AUUUUUAACUUUUAAGAUCAGUUCUAUGUAAGAAUCAACUUCGGUGCCCACGCAUAGUCAAGAUUUUCCUCAUACUUUACAAUUUGAAAGACUUUGAUGAGUAAAAAGGCUAACACAAUUUAUUUGAUGCUAUGUAUUCCCGUUGUCAUGAUAACAGAGGGUAAAAAUGACAUUUUAAUGCUUAUUUGAGAACAUAUUGCAAGUAAUGUGCACAACUUUGGGCCUCUAGGGUAGAAUAUAUUGUUAAACAAAAUUGCCAUUCUCAAGAGAAAGAAAAACAUUUAUGGAGAAACAUUUUUUCAUGGUAACUAAAGAGAAAUUUCAAAAUAUGAUUUAUUCAUUUUAUUAGAAUGAAAAAUGCAAACCUUGAGUUUUUUUGUAUACACUAUUAUAGUUAUAGCAUUUUUGAAUGGAUAUUAUUCAUAUCAAACAUUUAUGGAGAAACAUGUUUUCAUGGUAACUAAAGAGAAAUUUCAAAAUAUGAUUUAUUCAUUUUAUUAGAAUGAAAAAUGCAAACCUUGAUUUUUUUUGUAUACACUAUUAUAGUUAUAGCAUUUUUGAAUGGAUAUUAUUCAUAUCAAACAUAUAGUUAACUUAUAUUAAUGGGUGAUAUAAUAUCACGUAUGUCCUGAACUUGAAAACAUUUUGAAAAAAAAAUAUUUGCGAAAAAUAUUCUGUUUUCUGCAAUUUCUUUUGUGAUUUUCUACGUAACCUUAUUUUCCUGAGCAACAACACUUUUGUGUUGAGUUCAAAAUUGUGUGUGGUAUACAAUAAAAACAUAGGCAUAUUUCUACAAGUUUCAAUAUAAACAAUAGCUAGAACAUUUUAAAAUCGAAAAUUACAGCAUAUCAAAAUCAUCUUCAAUUUUACAGGGGUUUUUUUUUAUUUCUUGGCCUUGUGGCCGUAGCAACGAGUGUCAGUUUUUAUAAAUAUAAUGUAUAUUUGAUGGACAUUUAAGGAAAUAAAUAAAUAAUUUCCCGUUUCAGCUCAUAAAAAAAAUAAACAAAUUUCAAAAAUUUCUAAUGGUUGCCCUGGUAACAGUUUGAAAGAAUUAGUUUCUCCAUCAGUUUUCUUCGAUGAAAUAAGACUUGACAAAAUAACAAAGGUUGUUUAAUUUCUUUGAUAGUUUACAUUAGUGGGCACAACCUUCCAAUAUGGCUUUAAAGUAGGUAAGUUUUGCUAUUUUACCAUCUUUAGCGUCGGUUACCAUGGCAACGGUUACCCCCAGCACCCAGCUAUUAGUGUUAUUUUUUGUGUAUUACACCUAGGUGUUUUCAUGUAUGAAAUAAAAAGAAAAUCUGUUACUAUGCGUGGCCAAAAUCAUUGAUCCUGACAUAGAAUUGAUCUUAAUUAACGGUAGUUUUGUUGAAGUUAUUAAAAACUGUUGAACAAAAAAAUAUUUCAAGGUGUACAUGUAUGCAAAAUUAUAUUUUUAAAAUCAUGCAAAUAAACAUUUAUAUUUUAUUUAAGUGAUAAUUGGUAUCUAUCUUAAGUUUUGAAGUUAAUGAUGUAUUGUGUAACUCUAUAAUGUUUGUUAACAUUUACUUGUAUUCAUCUACACGUGUUCGACAAAAUAUAUUCACACUCUCAAAAGAUUGUAAAAGACUUCAUAUUCUAGCAACGAAAUCAUGCUGGUCGGUUACUAGCUGGGUCAGAAGUUUACGCCCUAUGGUAGUUCAAAAUCCGUAAUAUAAAUUUAUAUUUAAUCUUCUUCUCUUCUCCCAUAUAUUUUUGAGAAAAAACUGAAUACAUGGUCAUGAAGUUCUCUACCGGGUUUGUGAAAUCCAUGAUACCUUGGUCAGGGAUGCAGGCCCUGGUGCAAGACAAAUACUGCUGAAUAGUCCAAAUGCACCGAUAUAAGUAUGUUUUCUUUCUUAACUUUUACAGUUAUGGAUGAUAAAGUCAUGCAUUGUUAUUACGUUCAUAAUAAACUGAAGUUUGUUAUUAGUCCCCUACCUGUUUUACCGGAGGGGACUAUAACUUUCCUUUGCGUCCGUCUGUCUGUUCCACACCUUUUUACUUGCUUAUGCAAUACUUUCAGAAUACCUGUUUACUAUAUAAUAUUUCUAUGUUUAAUAUCUAAACAUUACAGCAUGUCUUCGUUUACAUCGGCACUAAUUUUUUUCGACAUAACAGGGCAUAAACAUUAUAUAAUUUUGGUUGUUGUUGUUGUUUUUUUUUUUAUAAAAGUGUCCUGUAAAAAUGCUUUAUUUAAACGAAGUAAAAUGUAUAUUAGAAUGACAGCACGCCCUAGCCUCGAUUUACAUACUACAAUAGUAAACCGAAUAUAUACUUAACACUUUGUGUAACCUGUACCUUGAAAUUAUUGAGUUUUUUGUUUUAAUUUUUCUAUAGUUGUAUUUGUUCACUGUAUAUGGAUCAGUUAUGAUUUGUGAUUGUUUCAUGCAGUGUUUUUAAAUAAAUGACUUAAAAUGUA